GACGAACGCUGGCGGCGUGCCUAACACAUGCAAGUCGAACGGACAGGCCCUGCUUUUGUGGGGCGCUUGAGUGGCGCACGGGUGAGUAACACGUGAGUAAACCGUCCCUAACUUACGGAUAACUUCAGGAAACAGGGGCUCUUACCGGAUAGGAGAUCUUGCUGCACGGUGGUGGUUAGAGAGUUUCGGCGGUUGGGGAUGGACUCGCGGCUUAUCCGCUUGAUGGUGGGGUAGUGGCUUACCAAGGUUUGGAAGGGUAGCCGGCCUGGGAGGGGGACCGGCGACAAUGGGACUGAGAUACGGCCCAGACGGCAACGGGACGCAGCAGUGGAGAAUAUUGCACAAUGAGCGGAAGCCAGAUGCGGCGACGCCGCGUGCGGGAUAACGGCCUUCGGGUUGUAAACCGAUGUCGCAUGAGACGAGGCGAGAGUGACGGUAACGGGUAAAGAAGCACCGGCUAACUACGUG
rnacentral:rRNA from 1 species